CCCUCAGAGAGCACUCUACCAGGAUGUGAUGCUCGAGAACCACUGCACCCUACCAGCUCUGGAUAAGCAUCACAUGGUGGGCUUCAGGUCCCUGCUCCCCAUCCCCAGGUGACUGGUCCCCUGGGCUCUCUUGACUCAUAGACCAAAUAUCCCCAGUCCAUGCUGGGGUGCUCGUGUCCCAGCAGGGAGUGCCCAGUGAUCUCAUCACCCAUUCUUUCUUCUCGAGACCUCCUCUGGAUCCCCCUCCUCUUGCAGCCUCUGUGGCCCUCAGCCAGGGGCAGCUCAGAUAUUCUAGCACUGACCAUUAUCUUCUUGAUAGACAGGUUUUUCAGUGUCCACACUCAGGGUUAUCUCCCAGCAGGAGCAGGGGAAAAUGCCAUGGGUCAUUGCUCUGCCAGGGCCUCCCUGCACAGAUUCCUAGGUCAAAACAAAGCAUAAACAAUCAACGCCAACAGAAAAAUCUUCCGAAGAACAAUUACAAGAAGUAACUCAGGAAAUUUUCCCAAGAGGCAAUCCAGAAGAGUUUGAGUUUCGAUCAGCUUGUAGGACUGAGACAGGAGCAGAACAUUGCUGGAAGAAAUUCACAAUACAGACCAGGAUGAAGUUAUUUCCCCAAAAGAGAGGUUCGAGGCAAGUGGUCAGCUCCCCGUUGAAAAUCAUU
ensembl:lncRNA novel transcript